rnacentral:rRNA from 1 species
AGAGUUUGAUCCUGGCUCAGGACGAACGCUGGCGGCGUGCCUAAUACAUGCAAGUCGAGCGGACAGAUGGGAGCUUGCUCCCUGAUGUUAGCGGCGGACGGGUGAGUAACACGUGGGUAACCUGCCUGUAAGACUGGGAUAACUCCGGGAAACCGGGGCUAAUACCGGAUGGUUGUUUGAACCGCAUGGUUCAAACAUAAAAGGUGGCUUCGGCUACCACUUACAGAUGGACCCGCGGCGCAUUAGCUAGUUGGUGAGGUAACGGCUCACCAAGGCGACGAUGCGUAGCCGACCUGAGAGGGUGAUCGGCCACACUGGGACUGAGACACGGCCCAGACUCCCACGGGAGGCAGCAGUAGGGAAUCUUCCGCAAUGGACGAAAGUCUGACGGAGCAACGCCGCGUGAGUGAUGAAGGUUUUCGGAUCGUAAAGCUCUGUUGUUAGGGAAGAACAAGUACCGUUCGAAUAGGGCGGUACCUUGACGGUACCUAACCAGAAAGCCACGGCUAACUACGUGCCAGCAGCCGCGGUAAUACGUAGGUGGCAAGCGUUGUCCGGAAUUAUUGGGCGUAAAGGGCUCGCAGGCGGUUUCUUAAGUCUGAUGUGAAAGCCCCCGGCUCAACCGGGGAGGGUCAUUGGAAACUGGGGAACUUGAGUGCAGAAGAGGAGAGUGGAAUUCCACGUGUAGCGGUGAAAUGCGUAGAGAUGUGGAGGAACACCAGUGGCGAAGGCGACUCUCUGGUCUGUAACUGACGCUGAGGAGCGAAAGCGUGGGGAGCGAACAGGAUUAGAUACCCUGGUAGUCCACGCCGUAAACGAUGAGUGCUAAGUGUUAGGGGGUUUCCGCCCCUUAGUGCUGCAGCUAACGCAUUAAGCACUCCGCCUGGGGAGUACGGUCGCAAGACUGAAACUCAAAGGAAUUGACGGGGGCCCGCACAAGCGGUGGAGCAUGUGGUUUAAUUCGAAGCAACGCGAAGAACCUUACCAGGUCUUGACAUCCUCUGACAAUCCUAGAGAUAGGACGUCCCCUUCGGGGGCAGAGUGACAGGUGGUGCAUGGUUGUCGUCAGCUCGUGUCGUGAGAUGUUGGGUUAAGUCCCGCAACGAGCGCAACCCUUGAUCUUAGUUGCCAGCAUUCAGUUGGGCACUCUAAGGUGACUGCCGGUGACAAACCGGAGGAAGGUGGGGAUGACGUCAAAUCAUCAUGCCCCUUAUGACCUGGGCUACACACGUGCUACAAUGGACAGAACAAAGGGCAGCGAAACCGCGAGGUUAAGCCAAUCCCACAAAUCUGUUCUCAGUUCGGAUCGCAGUCUGCAACUCGACUGCGUGAAGCUGGAAUCGCUAGUAAUCGCGGAUCAGCAUGCCGCGGUGAAUACGUUCCCGGGCCUUGUACACACCGCCCGUCACACCACGAGAGUUUGUAACACCCGAAGUCGGUGAGGUAACCUUUUAGGAGCCAGCCGCCGAAGGUGGGACAGAUGAUUGGGGUGAAGUCGUAACAAGGUAGCCGUAUCGGAAGGUGCGGCUG